AACGAACGCUGGCGGCAGGCUUAACACAUGCAAGUAGAACGCAUCGCUAGAUGAGUGGCAGACGGGUGAGUAACGCGUGGGAACAUACCCUUUUCUACGGAAUAGCACUGGGACACUGGAAUUAAUACCGUAUACGCCCUACGGGGGAAAGAUUUAUCGGGGAAGGAUUGGCCCGCGUUGGAAUAGCUAGUUGGUGGGGUAAAGGCCUACCAAGGGGACGAUCCAUAGCUGGUCUGAGAGGAUGAUCAGCCACAUUGGGACUGAGACACGGCCCAAACUCCUACGGGAGGCAGCAGUGGGGAAUAUUGGACAAUGGGCGCAAGCCUGAUCCAGCCAUGCCGCGUGAGUGAUGAAGGCCUUAGGGUUGUAAAGCUCUUUCACCGAUGAAGAUAAUGACGGUAGUCGGAGAAGAAGCCCCGGCUAACUUCGUGCCAGCCGCCGCCGUAAGAC
rnacentral:rRNA from 1 species